UGAGCACGGAGCGGCGGAGGUAAGCCUCGGGGUCGUCUAGGAAACGCAGCUUCUGCAGAGAUAGGCGCAAGAUGCAGCUGCGCUCCUCACGCAGGAUCAGGUGCUGAGGGGAGAGGGACAGAAGAAUGAUAUACAGCUUGGAACAUCAUGAGGCCUCCAGUAGCGUGUGCCAGCGGCAGACCUGUUGGUUUCCGCCCUCCUUCAUGUCCUGCCAGUGAAGAAGUUCCUCCUCACCGCUGCUGUUCUGGCCCAGAGCCACCCAGCCAAUCAUCUCCUUGCGUUUCAU